rnacentral:rRNA from 1 species
CAACGCGAAGAACCUUUACCAGGUCUUGACAUCCGAUGCUAUUUCUAGAGAUAGAAAGUUACUUCGGUACAUCGGUGACAGGUGGUGCGAUGGUUGUCGUCAGCUCGUGUCGUGAGAUGUUGGGUUAAGUCCCGCAACGAGCGCAACCCCUAUUGUUAGUUGCCAUCAUUCAGUUGGGCACGUCUAGCGAGACUGCCGGUAAUAAACCGGAGGAAGUGGGGAUGACGUCAAAUCAUCAUGCCCCUUAUGACCUGGGCUACACACGUGCUACAAUGGUUGGUACAACGAGUUGCGAGUCGGUGACGGCGAGCUAAUCUCUUAAAGCCAAUCUCAGUUCGGAUUGUAGGCUGCAACUCGCCUACAUGAAGUCGGAAUCGCUAGUAAUCGCGGAUCAGCACGCCGCGGUGAAUACGUUCCCGGGCCUU